AGGUUAAGCUAGAAAGGGCGCACGGUGGAUGCCUUGGCACUAGGAGCCGAAGAAGGACGGGACGAACACCGAUAUGCCUCGGGGAGC
rnacentral:rRNA from 1 species